GGAUCCCGCCGGUGAUCUGGUUCCCGGCGAGGUCUAGAUCCGCCAACCGUCUCAAUUGUGUUAUGGAAUUUGGAAUCGGGCCGGCGAUCUGGUUGCGAGCGAGCAGGAGUCUGCUUAGCAUCUGGAGGCGGCCGAUAUCGGCCGGAAUUUUUCCGUUGAUAUUGUUGCCAGUUAAGUCAACAUGCAUUAGACUUGAUAAAGAAGGAAAUGAGGCGGGGAUGGGACCGGAGAUUUGAUUGUCAGCGAGGUUGAGGACUCUGAGCUGAGUGAGCUUACCGAUGUCGGUGGGGAGGGGGCCGGUGAGGCGGUUGCCGACGAGGUCGAGGAUUCGGAGUUGGGAGAGGGAGGAAAUGCAGGCGGGGAUGGGGCCGGAGAUCUGCUUCCAGUCGGCGAGGAUGAAGGUGGAGAGGGCGGAGAGGGAGCAGAUGGAGGGGGAGAUAGUGCCGGUCAUGAGGCCGGAUCGGCCGGCGCGGACGAGGAUCUGGUCUUCGGACUCGCCGCGGAGGGUGAGGUCGGCGACGCGGCCGGAGGAGGGGUCGCAGUAGACGCCGUACCAGUGGGAGCAGCAGUCGGAGCCGGUCCAGGAGGAGAAGACGCCGAUGUAGGGGUCGGAGAGGGCGGAGCGGAAGGAGAGGAGGGCGGAGCGGUCCGCCGCCGAGCAGGCGGCGGUGGCGGCAGUGGCGAAGGAGAGGACGGUAAGGAGGAGGAGGAGGAGGGGAGAGGGAGGCAUUGUGAAUGAGCGAGUGAGGAGACCGUCACCCUCCUCUCCU
rnacentral:misc_RNA from 1 species